GCUGAGUGUGGUGGCGCACACCUGUAGUCCCAGCUACUCUGGAAGCUGAGGUGGCAGGAUUGCUUGGGCCUGGGAGAUAGAGGCUGCAGUGAGCUAUGUUGUGCCACUGCACUCCAGCCUGGGCUACAGAGUAAGAUGCUGUCUCAA
rnacentral:SRP_RNA from 1 species